rnacentral:rRNA from 1 species
UACAGAGGUCCCAAGCGUUGUUCGGAUUCACUGGGCGUAAAGGGUGCGUAGGCGGUCGGGUAAGUCUGAUGUGAAAUCUCACAGCUUAACUGUGAAACUGCAUUGGAUACUAUCCGGCUCGAGGAAUGGAGGGGAGACUGGAAUACUUGGUGUAGCAGUGAAAUGCGUAGAUAUCAAGUGGAACACCAGUGGCGAAGGCGGCGAUCUGGGAACAUACUGACGCUGAGGUGCGAAAGCGUGGGGAGCAAACAGG